AAGCUCGUAGUUGAAUUUCGGGGUCAGUAGGUUGGUCGUGCCACCGGUACGUACUGGUCUCACUGAUUCCUCCUUCCUGAUGAGCUGUAAUGCCAUUAAUUUGGUGUUGCAGGGAAUCUGGACUGUUACUUUGAAAAAAUUAGAGUGUUUAAAGCAGGCUAACGCUUGAAUACAUUAGCAUGGAAUAAUGAAAUAGGACGUUCGAUCCUAUUUUGUUGUUUCUAGGAUUGACGUAAUGAUUAAUAGGGAUAGUUGGG
rnacentral:rRNA from 1 species